rnacentral:tRNA from 1 species
AGUAAGAUGCCUGACUUAAAAGGACUAUUUUGAUAGAAUAGAAUAUGUAAAUAAUUACUCUUAUUA